UCUCUGGAGGAGCUAUAACCGAGGAUACACUGAUGGUUCCUCCACGGAUGCAUUUCUGGGAACGGUGUACAUCUGACCGGGUGACGACAUUUCCUAUUGACGCAACAACCACUACAUCCCCAACCAUAGUGGAAUGCUGUUGUAAAGGAUUGCAUUGAUCCGUGCAUCAAUACCUUCACCCAGCUUUGAGGCCUCCAAUGAAUGAACAUCAUCUUGUGGCUGGGAAAAAUGUGAACAAAUAAAUCUCACAAAGAGUGA